AAAUACAGUGCGAGCAAAUAGCUCCCACAUCCUUGAAGAAACAAACAACUUGCCAAGAGACAUCAAAAUAACACCAACAUACUACUAUACCACUUGAGCCAACAUUCUCACUGAUAACUCAGUCUUAACUUUUAAGAUAGCACUUUACACCAAGCACCACAGCUAGUUCAGCCUUACCAUAACACACAAACGCACUAAACAUGACAGAUAAUUUAGUCUAACAAAGCCACGGUGUCCAAACAGAGCAAUGGCAACUACAUAAAGUGCUGGGGUUAGUCACUAUGGAACUAGCCGUCCUCCUUCUCAGCUGGUGUCAUCUCCUUCUUGCCAUCACGCACACCACACACAGACAUGCAGACAUAAAGGAUUGUUGGGCUAUACAUGAUGACUAAAUGGUACCAUUUUGCCCUGCGAUAGAAGCGCCUGCAGGGCAGUACAAGAGAGAUUAGAACCCUUGGAACAAAGAUUGGAACAAGCAUAUAGAACAAUACCAGGCUAGAGAUCAUACCAGACGGGGUCCUCGGGUUUACGCUCCACAUGGGAUGAGAGGUGCUUGAUCGGACCCUUCUGGUUUUCUAUCCUGGCCCUGUUUUCGGACAUCAGGCGGUAGAGCUCUUCUUUUCUCUGCAUUGUUAUUGACAGCAAGACAGGGAGAAACCGCAUUAACCCAAAUCAGGAAUAGAUCAAUAUCGAAGUUCAUCUCAGAAGUAGAGCAGGUAUAUUAUGACAGCAGUAGCACUCCAAAAGAUUCCAAGAGGCAUGCAGUCAAUCAAUUGGCAAACAAUGCAAUGUUUAUGUGAUUCAGCACUAGAGUCUGACAGCACUAGCACCCGGCUAAAUUCGGUCAAGCAUGCAGGUAAAUUAAGACCAACAGCAUAUCAAGCAAAUUCUGACCCCCGGGAUUAUUAUGCCCUUCUUUCAGAUUCAGAUUGUAGCAUUUGGUAAACAAGAAGGAAGCACUAGGUUGCUAAUUAAACAUGCAGAGUAUAGUAGAAUUUACAAAAGAGGUUAGGAGAAGUCGGAUCGAUCAGGGGAGACCCUGAACUUGAGUUGACUUAAACCAUCCAUAACCAUAAACAUAGCAGCCCACCCUUCCAAUGUAGAUGUCGGGGUCACAACAUCAAAGUAUUUCCUGCUUCUUUGCUUGCAGAUAUUCCAAGCAGCCAGGCACACAAUUUCUUUGAGCAAUUUAUGGGGCGAGGCCUCAUCCCUUGUGGUAUGAUCCCAGGUAAUAUGCAUGGUAUUCCAACAAUCAGCACUGAGUGUGCAAGCAAAGAAUAGGUGUAUGGUGGUUUCUUCCACGUCAUCAAAACACAGCAGGCAAGAAAGACCCUCUCCAAUAUCAAAGUGGCUCCUCUUAAGCAUAUCCCUAGUGUUCAGUCCAUCCAUAAACCAUAACAAACCAGGCGAAAACCUUGUGUCGGAACAGGGGAGGGUUGUAUUUGCCCGAGGCAGAAUCUAUCUAUCUAUAUUACUUAUAUGGCAAUCAUCAGGACUCCAAAGCUCGAGCCGCAAACUGUUCAAUUUGAUUGGGAGGGAGGUUCCAUGAAUUGCUGGACUGAGGGAUGCUCCUGAAGAGCAAAAGAGAAUAGAACAUGCAUCGUUCCAGAAUAGAACAGCGUCCCCGGCAUUCACAGGCCAGCAGGGAAGAAUCCGCAUUACUAGGGUUAGGGUUCCUACGAUGGGGGCAAACAAGGGGCGAAAAUAUGGCAAAUCGGGAGGAAACCGGUCUAUAGUAUAGCCGCCGUCAACUAUAGAGAGGAGAGGAGGGGGGNNNNNNNNNNNNNNNNNNNNNNNNNNNNNNNNNNNNNNNNNNNNNNNNNNNNNNNNNNNNNNNNNNNNNNNNNNNNNNNNNNNNNNNNNNNNNNNNNNNNAGAGAACACUCUUCAAUCUCAUGAAAACCAAGAAUAUCACAUAAAGAUUUUGGAAUCGCGGAAACACUAGCACCCAAAUCACACAAAGCAUUGCACUCAUAGUUUUUUAUCUUGAUUUUGAUAGUAGGUUCCCACUCAUCAUGAAGUUUUCUAGGUAUAGAGACUUCUAGUUCGAGCUUCUCUUCAGGAAAUUUCAUCAUAUCGUCUACGAUAUGCGCGGUAAAGGCUUUGCUUUGGCUAUAAGCAUGUGGAGAGUUUGCAAUGGAUUGCAUCAAAGAGAUGCAUUCAAACAAGGAACAAUUAUCAUAAUUGAAUUCCUUGAAAUCCAAAGUGGGAGUUUCAUUACUACCCAAAAUUUUGAUUUCUUCUACUCCACUCUCCACACCUUUAUCAUCAAGAUAGGUGGACUCCGAAUCAUUGGGGCGUUUUUCAACCAAAGUGGAUUCAUAUCCAGCCCCUCCAUCAAUAGGUUUGACACGCGAAAACAAAGAUUCAAGAGGAGACACACCAAGCACUUUAAGAUCUUCGUGAUUUGCAUCACUAGAUCGCAUCCUCCUUUUAAACCAUUCAUGCCUAGCGCGAAUUUGGGCGGUUCUUUCUUUGCUCUCAUUCAUGGAGAUACGCAUAGCUUUCAAAGUUUCAUCCAAGUUGACCUUGGGAGGAGCACAUAUAACUUUCAGAGCAUCAAUAUCACAAGACAUCCUAUCAACGCUCUUAGCCAAAUUGUCUAUUUUGUGUAGUUUUUCCUCUAUGGACGCAUUGAAAAUCUUUUGACAGUUGAUGAACUCUUUGAUAUUACUCUCUAAAUCAGAGGGUAAUUUGUUGUGAUUUCCAUAAGUGUUGUUGUAGGAAUUGCCAUAAUUGUUAGAGGAGUUACUAGGGAAAGGCCUAGGAACAUAGUUUCCUCUAAAAGCAUUGUUGUUGCCAAAAUUGUUCCUACCAACAAAGUUAACGUCCAAACUAGCAUUGCUACUCUCAAUCAAGGAAGAUAGUGGCAUGUCAUUAGGAUCUAAAGGAUUGUUUCUACUAGCAACCAAAUUCAUCAACUCGUCCAUCUUAGCACUAAGCGAGUUAAUUUCUUCUAUAGCGUAUACCUUUUUGCUAGCAGGUGACCUUUCAGUAUGCCACUGAGAGUAGUUGGUCAUGAUAUUGUCUAGGAGUUUUGUAGCGUCUCCUAAUCUGAUUUCCAUGAACGUUCCACCUGAGGCAAAGUCCAAGAUAUUGCGAGAGGCAAAAUUCAAACCAGCGUAAAAGAUUUGUAUAAUCAUCCACAAACUCAAGCCAUGAGCGGGACAAUUUAUAAUCAUAAGCUUCAUCCUCUCCCAAGAUUGUGCAACGUGUUCAUGAUCAAGUUGCUUGAAAUUCAUGAUAUCGUUACGUAGAGANNNNNNNNNNNNNNNNNNNNNNNNNNNNNNNNNNNNNNNNNNNNNNNNNNNNNNNNNNNNNNNNNNNNNNNNNNNNNNNNNNNNNNNNNNNNNNNNNNNNUGGGUUUUGUUUGGCCAACUAGAUCUAUGAUUCUUGCAAUGGGAGAAGUGCUUAGUUUUGGGUUCUUACCGUGUGGUGACCUUUCCCAGUGACAGUAGGGGCAGCAAGGCACACAUUGUGUAGUUGCCAUCAAGGGUAACAAGGUGGGCUUUGUCGUAGAUAUGAGUUGUCCAUCUACAUCAUAUCAUCUUGCUUAAGGCAUUACUCUGUUCUUUUGGACUUAAUACACUAGAUGCAUGCUGGAUAGCGGUCGACGUGUGGAGUAAUAGUAGUAGAGGCAGAAAGUAUCGGUCUACUUGUUUUGGACAUGACGCCUAUAGAUAUAAUCAUUGCCAUAGAUGACGUCGCGACUUUGCACGGUUCUAUCAAUUGCUCGACAGUAAUUUGUUCACCCACCGUCUACUUGCUUUCAUGAGAGAAGCCACUAGUGAACACUACGGCCCCCGGGUCUAUUCACAUCUAUCGUUUCCACUUUCGCUUUUACUUUGCUUUGUUACUUUGCUUUCAGUUCUCACUUGGCGAACAAUCUUUAAGGGAUUGACAACCGCUUCAUAGCGUGGGGAGCAAGCUUUUUGUGUUUGUGCAGGCACUUGAGAUACUCCUUCACUGGAUCAAUACCUUGGUUCUCAAAACCGAGGGAAAUACUUACCACCGUUGUGCUACAUCACCCUUUUCGCUUCAAGGGAACACCAACGCAAGGCUCCAAGGCCACGGGGAAAUCCUUUGCAUAUUUUCCUAGGAAGUCCCUAAAGGCGUAGCCGUAGGAGAAGGAUUCCUGGUGCCGUUGCUGAGGAGAAUCAAGACAAGAACAGUCUCCCGUCAGCACGUGUUUCUGGCGCCGUUGGAAGGUCUUUUGUUGCAGUAGCAAUCUCCAUCAUCGUGUCUCCAUCGAGGUUGUCGUGCUAUCUAUGUUAUUACUACUAAAGCUACAACCUAGCAAUAUAGUAAACACAUCUGCAAACACAAACAUUAGUUUAACGACAACCCUAUGGCUCCUGCCGGUUGCCGUAGAAUCGACGUGCAAGUCGAUAUAUUUAACUAUUACAACAUGAUCAUCUCAUACAUCCAAUAUAUCACAUCAUUUCUCUGGCCAUAUCACAUCACAUGCAUACCGUGCAAAAACAAGUUAGACGUCCUCUAAUUUGUUGUUGCAUGUUUUACGUGGCUGCUAUGGGUAUCUAGUAUGAUCGCAUCUUACUUACACAAAACCACAACGGAGAUGUGCAAAUUUCUAUUUAACCUCUCUCCAAGGACCGCUUCGGUGAAAUCCAAUUCAACUAAAGUUGAAGAAACAGGCACCCGCCAGUCAUCUUUAGGCAACAAGUUGCAUGUUAGUCGAUGAAACCGGUCUCUCGUAAGCGAAAGAGUAAUGUUGGUCCGGGCCGCUUUAAUCCAACAAUACCACCGAAUCGAGAAAAGACUAAGGAGGGCAGCAAAUCGAACAUCAACACCCACAAAAACUUUUGUGUUCUACUCGAGAUUACAUCUAUGCUUGAACCUAGCUCAUGAUGCCACUGUUGUAGAACGUUGCAUGGGAAACAAAAAAUUUCCUAAGCACACGAAGACCUAUCAAGGUGAUGUUCAUCUACGAGAGGGAGAUUGGAUCCACAUACCCUAGUAGAUUGCUAAGAGGAAGCGUUAUUAAACGCGGUUGAUGUAGUGGUAUGUCUUCAUGAUCCGUCCCAUGAACCGUCCCACGAUCCGUCCCAUGAACCGUCUCGUGAUCCGUCCCGAUCAAGUGCCGAACGGACGGCACCUCCACGUCCCGCACAAAUAUAGCUCGAUGACGACGACCUCCGCCAUCUUGAUCCAGCAAGAGGGUCGGGGAAGUAGAUGAGUUCUCCGGCAGCGUGACGGCGCGCCGGUGAUGGUGAUGAUCUAUUCCUGCAAGGCUCCGCCUGAGCUGCGCAGAAAACCGAUCUAGAGGAAGAACUACGAACUAGAAGAGAGGGUAGAACGUGGCAAAGUUUUGUCUCAAAAGCCCUAAACUUCUAAUAUAUAUAGGAGGAGGGGGAAGGCAGCCUUGGUGCGCCAAGGAAGGCCUCCUUGGGUCGGCCGAAGUGGGGAACGGAUGAGUCCUCCUCCAAAUCCGCUUGGAUUAGGACUCCUUCCUUAUUUUCCCACCUCUUUUGGAUUUUCCACUUUUUCCUCAUGGGCUUUCCUUGGAUGAAUUUGUCAACCAAUUAUACCUUAUUGCGCAUCCAAUAAACCCAUGUGGACUAAUGACCCACAAGUAUAGGGGAUAAGUCGUAGUCCUUUCGAUAAGUAAGAUUGUCGAACCCAACGAGGAGUAGAAGGAUCUGACAAGUGGUUUUCAACAAAGUAAAAUCUGCAGGCACUGAAAUUGUCGGUAACAAGUGAUUGUGUGGUGAGAUGAUUCGUAGCAAGCAACAAGUAAAAAAAGUAACAAUGGUGCAGCAAAGUGGCCCAAUCCCUUUUGUAGCAAGGGACAAGCCUGGACAAAGUCUUAUAGGAGGAAAAACGCUCCUGAGGACACACGGGAAUUUCUGUCAAGCUAGUUUCAUCAUGUUCAUAUGAUUCGUGUUCGUUACUUUGAUAGUUUGAUAUGUGGGUGGACCAUCGCUUGGGUACUUCCCUUACUUGGACAAGCAUCCCAGUUAUGAUUAACCCCUCUCGCAAGCAUCCGCAACUACGAAAGAAGAGUUAAGACAAAGUCUAACCAUAGCAUUAAACUAGUGGAUCCAAAUCAGCCCCUUACGAAGCAACGCAUAAACUAGGGUUUAAGCUUCUGUCACUCUAGCAACCCAUCAUCUACUUACUACUUCCCAAUGCAUUCCUCUAGUCCCAAAUAAUGGUGAAGUGUUAUGUAGUCGACGUUCACAUAACACCACUAGAGGAAAAACAACAUACAACACAUCAAAAUAUCGAAAGAAUACCAAAUUCACAUGACUAUUAUUAGCAUGACUUAUUCCAUGUCCUCAGGAACAAAAGUAACUACUCACAAAGCAUAAUCAUAUUCAUGAUCAGAGAGGUAAUGAGUAGCAUCAAGGAUCUGAACAUAAACUCUUCCACCAAGUAAUCCAACUAGCAUCAACUACAAAGAGUAAUCAACACUACUAGCAACCUUACAAGUACCAAUCAGAGUCGCGAGACGGAGAUUGGUUAUAAGAGAUGAACUAGGGUUUGGAGAUGAGAUGGUGAUGAUGAAGAUGUUGAUGGUGAUGAGUCCCCUCCGAUGAGAGGAGUGUUNNNNNNNNNNNNNNNNNNNNNNNNNNNNNNNNNNNNNNNNNNNNNNNNNNNNNNNNNNNNNNNNNNNNNNNNNNNNNNNNNNNNNNNNNNNNNNNNNNNNAGAUGCAUGCUGGAUAGCGGUCGAUGUGUGGAGUAAUAGUAGUAGAUGCAGAAAGUAUCGGUCUACUUGUCUCGGACGUGAUGCCUAUAUGUAUGAUCAUUGCCUUAGAUAUCAUCAUGACUGCGAUUCUGUCAAUUGCUCGACUGUAAUUCGUUCACCAACCGUAAUACUUGCUAUCAUGAGAGAAGCCUGUAGUGAACACUGUGGCCCCCGGGUCUACUUCACAUCAUAUUUUCAGCUCUACACUUUCACUUUGUUGCACUUUCCGCCUUCAGAUCUCACCUUGCAAUUAAUCGUGAAGGGAUUGACAACCCCUUUAUAGCGUUGGGUGAAAGUUUGUUUGUUUUUGCGCAGGUAAUUUGGAGACUUGCCUUGAUACUCCUACUGGAUUGAUACCUUGGUUCUCAAACUGAGGGAAAUACUUACUGCUACUGUGCUGCAUCACCCUUUUCUCUUCAAGGGAAAAACCAACGCAAGCUCAAGAGGUAGCACUCAUCAUGUCAAGUCAUCUGACUUAGCUCAAGUACCUCCUUUCUCGCACUCACGCACACCAAGUUUCUGAAAACAUCGGAUGUAGUCUAAGUAGGACCACCAACUAUCCAUGACUAUGGGCACGACUAUUCAAAUAGUUGUACACCAUGCGCAGGUUGUGCGAUGUACCCACAAGACCCGGGGAACUUCCAGGUCAUCCACGACUCGUGGUGUAUUACAUACCCGAGGUAAGCACCCCAACAAUGCAUUUUCCCUGGCGACACUAAAUAAAGAGUACACACGCUGGCCCACGUCCUCAUGAUGUACAUCAUACGAGACUCGCUCAAGAUCGUACCAUCCCUGAUCAGAUAGAACGGUGUGCCUGGUGUUUGUAGAAAUAGACCAUGGUCGCCCUACCUAGCAUGAGCCUGUAUCGAGAGAGUGACUCGGCUCUCCCGCCACUAGUAAUGCAUGCUCUCUGUUAGCAUCGACCAAGGAAAUCAANNNNNNNNNNNNNNNNNNNNNNNNNNNNNNNNNNNNNNNNNNNNNNUAAUCAACAAAGCCCGUCCCAUAAAGGGGUAUCGUGGUUGCACAUGUAAGGUCGGGACGAUCAACACAUCUUAAAUUUCUCCAUUUUCGAAAACGCACACACACAUCUUGCCUACACGCGGUCCCUACAUGGUAGUGAGAGGGAAAGGCUAAGGGGGUGACAGGUGAGCUCCACUUGUCAUCCCUAACCUCGGUUAGGGAGGCACGGGUGCUCACCGACAGUGAUCUAGGACACGGCGACCCGAGUAGAGGGCACGAAUNNNNNNNNNNNNNNNNNNNNNNNNNNNNNNNNNNNNNNNNNNNNNNNNNNNNNNNNNNNNNNNNNNNNNNNNNNNNNNNNNNNNNNNNNNNNNNNNNNNNUGCUACAUAAAUGUUUUACUUCACACUCUAUAAGUAGGAUCACUGCGCAGAGGGUUGAAAGUAACAACAAUCUUCUCAUCACGCUGUUUGAAGGUUAUGAACACCAAAUUGUUUACUUCUAUAGACGAUGCCCGAAGAAAAUUACUAAAACCUUCCUUCUUGAACACCAUUCUACCACCCAAGCCAAUAAAGUAGGAACAAAGAAUGCUCACAUAUAUAUCGUCAUCUUCAGAAUCCAAAGCAAUUUCAAGAGUUAAGGAACCAGUCCUAGGAAUUGACAAAAAAUCCUUCAAUCUACUCGCAACCAUGCUCGGAAUAACCUGACAAAAAACAUCAAGUUAUAUGAUGUCCAGCUUGCAAAUUUUUAAAACUAAACUCCAAAGCUCUACAUACAUAAAUAACAAAUAAAUAAACAGUAACCAAAAAGAAAGCUCACAAUAUGUUGACCAUUGACAUUCAUGGAAGUAAUGCUAUGAACAAAAGAAGAACAUAAUACAUAGUUAUCAUCAAAGAGUUGUCGCGACAUGAAAAUCAUUUGCUGAUAAUUUAGACUGACACCACGACUAUAGAAACAACUUUCAACAAGUUCGCUCUCAGAUUCACUCAGAUCCCCAAGAGCUUCAAAAAUAAUAAUUUCACAAGUUCAGCAGAACAGGAAAACAUAUAAGGUGAUAUAAAAUUUAAAGCCACUCAAAAAACAAACCUUACCAACACAGGGUAAAGGGAACAACAUAACACCAUCCCGAUGAAAACCAACACCAAUCAUAGUUCCAUAGUGCUCAAGCCUAAGAGUUGUCAUGUCACGAUGACGAAGACCAUAAUCAUUCACAAGUUCCUCCGAGGAAGCACUACAAGAAAUAUUCUCAUACAUGACGUUUUUUAAGAUGUCGUUGAUGAAUUCGUCAUAAAUCCAUGACGAUUUCAUCCGAGAUCAUCGUAAACCGUUUGAGGGGAUCAAAUCUACAUAAAAAUUAUGACGAUGUGAGUCAAAAACGUCGUAACCGCAUAAGAUGAAAUCGUCAUAACUUUUACGACGAUUGUAAAAAUGUCUUAACGUGUUCUAACUAUGUUGACAUGUCACUCGUGGGUCCAUUCUAUCCCACCUCAUCCUAGUUUGUGAAGCAACCUACUUUUCUGUCAUUCCAAAAAUUCUCUCAAAAUUCUCAUAAAUACUUUGGAUCAUAUAUUUCUCAAAUAUGUGAAAACCCUUCCUUCCAUAUUCAAAAAUAAUUUAGCAAUAUUCGUUUUCCUAUUCUGUUCAGAAUAGCACUUUGUGAAGGAAGGGCUAUUUCUAUUUAUUUGAUUAUCCUCAUAAUUUUUGGGAACUCUUUCCUAUCCAAAUCAUUGCCUCAUGAAAACUUUCAUAACGAUUUGCCUAGUAAAUCUUUCUCAGCAAAUUUCCAAAGUUUGUGUUCAGCUAACAGCUUUGUGAAGGAAGUACUAGAUAGGAAUAUCCUGAUGAGUUGAAUUUUUUCCACAUCAUCUAUGUGCCCAAAACAGAGCUCUCCACAAAUUUUUAGCCACAUCUAACAAUCCAUGUGAGCUCAUCAUCCAAUCUUUGUUUCUGGUAAUAUUUUUAUUUUGUGAAGCAACUACAUUUUAUACUGCUUUAUAGUUGAUGAAAAUUUACCACAGGAUGACACUGACCAUAUAACCUCACUCCACCAAAAUUUAGACCAUUUAAUUCAGCCAGCUUCCCUCAAUAGUUUUCCCAAUAUUUUGUUCAGUAGAGAGCAUUGUGAAGGAAGUACAAUUUUUGUUUAUCCAAAUUUUAUGAAAUGUUUACAGUACCUUAAUGUGUCCAAAUUAUCAUCCUCCUCCAAAUUUCAGCUCAAUCCAAUCAUCUAUGUGAGCCCAGUUUCAAUUACCAUUUUCUUUCCAAAUUGACACAUUGUGAAGGAAGUGUCACUUUGGCAUGUCAAAAUGGUAUAAUUUUUAUACACUGCCUUCAUAUGCCUAAAUUAACAUCCUACACCAAAUUUCAGCUCAAUCCAUUCAUUCAUUUGCUCCCAGCUUCAACAUCCAUAUUUCUACACAUUGUGUUACUUUACAAAGUAAGUGCCACCUAGAUUCAUCCAUUUGAGCUAAAAAUUUGCCAAGAGAGUCUCCUUAGUAGAUGAUCAUACUCAGCCAAAAUUUAGGCCCUUUGUCUAUGUGAAUUACCCGCACCGUUAAUCAAACACUUGGCUGUUAAUUCAUGUUUGAGCUUAGUUCAGUCUCCUCGUGAGAUUCUUCUAUUGUAUUCUUCUUGCUAACACAUACCGAGGUAUUGUCCAACCCACCAGACAUGCCUAUUCCACCUAGAACGCGUGGCAUGCAAGUUCACACGCUCUGGAGUUGGGGCCCUCAACCACCAUCGAAACCUCGACGUCAAGACACCACACCAUGUAUUUAUGAUUAAAUAGAUACUUAUAUACCUAUAAAUGAUUUUUGGGAAAAAUAAAGAGCAAACUAUAAUGCAGCUGCAGUUCAAAUUUAACCCGCUUCCAACUGAAUCGACAUGAAUUUGUCCUUUUCACGAGAGGUGGAUAAAAACUUUUAACACUCAACCAUUUUGUCAGUUUUACAUUAAAUAUGGCCUAGUAUUUUAGAAAAAUGAUUUGGUCCAAUUUUGAAAAAAAUAUAUGGUAGGUCCUUCACAAAAAAACUGAUUUUGGACACUCGGAAAAAGAAAAAUGAUUUUUUUGUGCAAAGAAAAUAAAACUCCCUUUGGCAACAUUGUUUUUUAUUCCAACAUGCACCCUUGUGCAAAAUAUGAGAUCAUUCGAACAAACUAUGGCAUGAAUGUGGCCAUGAGAUUGAUCAUUUGGCUUGAAAACAUGAAUUUUCACACAUGAUAGCUCAUUUGUUAGAACACUUUUUAAAAAUAAUUACCGUAUUAUAAGUUUAUUAUUUUUUCUGGUAACUUGGUCACAUAUUAUGACACAAUGCGAAGGUUUUGCAAUUUGUUUGAUUUUUUUUUUGAAUUUGUUAUGCCUGUUUGAAAAUGUGGUCGAAAGGGCGGGCAUGACCGUUCAUAGUUAGGGGUUGAACCUUGCCAAAAAUUUGUUGGAUCUCUGACUAAAUAGAUACUUCUUUACCUAAAAAUAAAUUUUGGAAAAAAUCAUGAGAAAACUAUGAGGCACCUCUAGUUUAAAUUUAACCCGCUUCCUACUAAAUCGUCAGUAAUUUAUCCUAUUCAGUAGAGGUGGAUCGAAACCUUUUGGCACCCAACCAUUUGGUCAAUUGUGCAUUGAAUAUGGACUAAUAUUUUAGAAAAAUGAUUUGGUCCAAUUUUACAACAAAUAUUUGGUAGGUCCUUCACAAAAAAGCUCAAUUUAGGCGCUCGAAAAAUAGAAAAUGACUUUUCGUCCAAAGAAAAUGAAAACUUCCUUUGACAACAUUGUUUUCCAUUACAAUAUGCACCCCUCUCCAGAAUAUUAUAUCAUUUCAACAAAUAAUGCCAUGAAUGUCGCCAUAAGAUUGAUCAUUUGACGUAAAAGGCCGUGUAUCUUCACACAUGAUAGGUCAUUUGUGAGAACACUUUUUUUAAAUAAUGGUUGUAUUAAAAGUUUAUUGUUUUACCUGUUAACUUUGUCACAUAUAAUGACACAAUGCGAAGUUUUUCUAUUUUUUUUAUUUUUUUUAAUUUUUGACGCCCAUUUCAAAAUGCGGUCAAAAUGGCGGAUAUGAGCAUUCAUAUUAUUUGAAAAUGUAAACAAGCUCUCAUGUUUAUGAAAUUUGGUGUGCUAUUGGUGUAUAGUCUCUAGAAGGCGUGGAAAAUUUGUAAAAAAAUUUACUAAUUUUUAACAUGUUUAUUUUGACAAAAGUAACAGUACAAAGAAACAAAAAUUAUUUCAAGCUUUCCUAUUAGAUGGAAUAGAACUCUCCUGGAUCGAUGACGUGGCGGAUAGAUCCACGCCUCACACCCACCACAGAACCCAGCUCGGUCCCACAUGUCAUUGUGUCCAAACCCAACCCCUCGCCCUCCCUCCCCACGAACCCCUCCUCCCUUCCAGAUCGAGAGAGAGAGGCAGAUCGAGAUCUUGCCUCCCCCUUCCAGAUCCGCGCCGCCACCUCCCUACUUCGACUCCCCCGACGACGAGCUGAAGACUGUAAUGGCGAUGGCAUCCUCCACCACCGCCUCCAUCUCCACGGCGUCCCUGCGCGCACUCGCCGGCUCCUCCCCGGCCCCGCUCCCAAAGCCGUUCCUCGUGCUGCUCUCCCCGGCCCUCCCGCACCGCCUCGGCCUCGGCCUCUGCGCCGCCCGCUUGCGCCGUUCACCGCCUCUGACUCCUUCGAGGUGAGCUGCUUUUCCUCUUACCUAGCUACCUCUUCGCUGCUACUGCUGCGGCGGCGGUCGCUCCUUUGUCCGCUCGUUCGUUGGUAUGCACAGAUACACACGCUUUCUUGCUGAAUAGAAUGCCUGAAACACCGGCUUGGUGAUAACCUACUACGUUGGUGAAUAAAAUGUCGCAAACUCUAAAAUUAACACAAAACUGAAAAUUGGCAUAUUCAGUUCUGGACAGUGUCUAGUUGAAUGCGGUGGCUACCCUGUUUGAGCUCAUUAGGAGGGGCUGAUGGAUCUUUAUGUUAGUACUCGCCACCUCCCUACUUCGAGCCUAGUAUACAAAUCCGCCCAUCAUAGACACCUUCUGGUGUUUUUAUGCCAGAUUGCACAAUUGCCUGAGGCCAAGUCUGGGCUGAAGAUCCAUGGUUUCGUCUAAAGAGCAACAGAACGCAGCCUAGUAUAUUGUUGCUGCUGUCACCUCGAUGUGCGGUGGCGUGUACCAUGUAGUGCAGCGUAGCUUUGUGAAGUUUCUGGAGAACUAUGAAUUUGUCAUGGCCGUGUCCUGAUUUGCAACCUCGCAUGGAACGGAAUAUCAACUUGUGGUUGUUGUUUGCAUCGUAUCAUAAUGAUUCAUAUUCGUGAUGGCACGGUUGUAGUACCGUGGCUCCGUUUAUAUGCAGGAAAAUUAAGGUUGUGAUGCGCACCAGCGUUUCUACCAGGUUGUGAAUCUGUGAUGGAGGCGGAGGACUACCAGGUUGGAAAAUUAAGGUUGUGAUGCGCACCAGCGUUUCUAUCCAUGAUGGCUCAUGUCAGUUUUUAUACCCUUUGGUUGGAUUACUGGAUACAUUGCAGGCCUUUCGUUGAGUAUAAGGGAGUUGUUCCAAUAGAUCGGUUACAGGAUACGAAAAUCUAGCUGGAAAAGGAGGCGAAAGAACUGAUUUCGAAAGGAGCGAAAAAAUUGCCCAAGAAACCUUGGCGUAUAGGAUUUCAUGACUUGGUAUAUUUUGAUUGUUUGCCAUUGAUGCAGGUCUUAGUCUCUGCUUUCCCUUAUGAGGAGGCAGCUAAAUUAUGUGGAGGUGCUCUGCCAAACUACAUUUCAGAGGUUAGUUCAGUUCAAUACUCUUCGACGGAUUUGUCAAAAGUAACAGUACUGUGUCAAAUCUUUACUAUGUGCCAUGCUUAGUGUUUACUGAACAGAGGCAUUGGGAAAUGGAAUUUAGGCACUUAUGUAUGAUUGUAGUUCUGUAUUUGUCUAAUGCAAACAUUACUGUCAAUUGUCAAGUUGAUUCUAAAAUGUCUCAUUAACUUCAUUGCUGCUAAUGGUUGGGUAACAAAAUAAGAUUGUACCUUCGUUAGAAGCAAAGUGCAAGUUGUAUUAGAAAUAAAACAGAAACACUAUUCUGCUUUAAUUUAUGAUGUUCAACAAUUUAACAUCAUGAUGAUGAUUGCUUGUUUUUGUGCCUUGUUUCUAUUCUUGAUCUGUAUCUUAUAGCUCUUAAAAAUAUGGUUGUUUCUUUUACAGGACCUCCAGGCCUAACAAAGUUGAAGUGUGAAGCCUUGAAGCCAAUUGUGUGAAGCUCUACUAAUCCAAGAAUGCAUAUUAUAUAUUGUAAUGAUAGGCAUAUCUCCUUUGUAACAGAUUAGAAAAAUUGUAAUAUACUACCUUCGUGUUAAUUUGAUGAAUUUCACAUGUUCUUUCUGCUCUAUUUGAAAUAUACAUAUCGUAUGCGAUUUGAAAAUGUGUGAAAUGAAAACCUGACGAGAACUUCUUGACAUAUGGGACAAAUUAUGAGAAGAACAUGACAAGUGGGACCUACACACAAAACUGAAAUUCAAAAGGCCAAAACUGAAACUGGACCAAAUGUAUUUGGGCACUAAAAGGCCAGGGCCCAAAUUAUAAUGACAACAAAAAAUUCAAAAAAAAUAUUAGAAGUGGUUGUAAAUAGGCUAAGGCCCAAAAAGAAGCCCAACAAGAAAAGGCCCAAAAAAUAAAACCAGCCCAUGUGAUCAAUUAAAAUGGAUUGGGCUGAUUUCAACCAUGACGUUUUGAUUUCGUCAUAAUUUUGCCACGUAGGACUGGGUUUGAUUGCCAACGAUGAUUUAGGAUCGUCGUAAAGGUUACGACAAUCCAGGAAUCAUCGUAAAAGUUAUGACGAUUUUGAUCAAAAUGUCGCUGCUGUUCAUUUGUGACGCUCCGUUUUCGACGCUUGGUUUUUCGUCGUGAGAUCGUCGUAAAUUAAAAACCGUGACGAUGUAGCGACGAAAAAAUAGCGUCGUGUAUUAGCAUAUUCCUUGUAGUGAAGGACCAUGGAAUUUGUUGCUCAUACGACCAUGUGUAAACAGAACAUCAUAUAAGUAACCCUCACUGUUGUUAAGAGCAAGAUCAAUAUCUUUGUCACCCCUCCGAAUAGCUAAAGAUUUGCACUCCUUAAUUUAUCGACCAAGAUGUGAUCUAACACUGCACGGAACAUACUACAAAAACAAUGAAAGCAAACAUCAUAAUCAUAUAAAACAAAGGCAUUGGAAUAAAGUCCAACCAAAAAAACAUCAACAAUAUGCCACAAUCAGAUAAACAAGAAAUAGAUCCUUACAACACGCCUUGAAGAGCGACGAUCCAGCACCAUAGUGAACACCAACGCACAAGAAUCAAAGAAAAAACAAGGGCCACCUGGAGCUCGGCAAAAGCGGCAAGCCAUUACAUGCAAAGGAAUGGUGACCAAUAAGAACUAAUUCCACAACCGAGUUGAAAGUUGACGUUUGAUCGUGUUGGAAGCCCCCACCCGUAAUUUCCCCUGAAAUCUUAAUUUUCCGAAAAUAUAAUGGGAAAACGAAAAUAGGAAACAGCAGGGCGAUUUCCCGGGGACAACCACACGGACGCAACGACGACGGAGCCGCGAUGGAAUGACGACGACACCAGGACAGAUGACGGCAGGACGACCACAGCGGGACAGAUGACGACAACGGCAGGACGACCACAGCGGGAUGGAUGACGACAACGGCUGCGAGACGGGACGAAAGAAAUCUGAACAAAUAGAUCGGAGCAUUACUAGAAAGCCUAAAUUGUUCAGGGACUUAAUUGAAAAAAAAACCAGAAAAAAAAAUGGAAACGGAAAUAACGAGACUCUUCUCUGCGCAACACUUGUCACGCACGGAGCGCCGUUGAAAGGUCUUCAGCGCGCCAGAACGCGACACUUGUCACUCGCGGAGUACACCCCACGUAAUCGUUGCAAGGUGUACUUCCUAACUAGUGAUUUCAGAAGAAAAGGGCAAAAAGUCAACAUCUAAAAAGAUUAUUUUUUUUGAAAAGCAGUCACGUCUUAGCAGGCCGGCCCAUUAGCGGUGGCGGACGCAUGUGGGCUUCUUAAGGCCUCUCCCGCCCAAUGCAUUGAUGCUUAGAUGAGAUGCUAAGUAUAUUAAAAACCUUAACAACUAGUCUUCCCAAUGCAUAGGUGCUUAGCUUUUGUUGCUAAGCUUUUUUCAUGGAACUGUUUAAUAAUUAAACUUCUUCAUGCAUUGGUUGGUAGUGUUUUUUUACAUAGGAUCAUGCGCUUAGCAUCGUUUCUUCGUGGGUUCAUCAUAAUACUCUCUUUCUCCUUCUUAAUGACUUUGCUACAUCAUUGUUUUGUCGCCUAUGUGUCAUCCUUAGCACUGAUGCAUGCGCUGGGAAAGGCCUAAUAAUCCUGAUAAAACACUAGUACCUCUCCAAGAAAAAGGGGAGAGGAGUUUGGGCCGGGGCCGGGGCCGGGCGGAUUGUGAAAUAUGGAGUGGUAUUAAUACGGUUCCGCCCGUGGCCGAGUGCCGCACCAACAACCAAAACCAACAAGACCGUACCAGAUCCGCAGGGGCCGUUGACGAAAGAUGGCGAUGGCGGCUCUCCGAUGCGCCGCCGGAAGGAGGCUCGUCCGGCCUCGCCCCGCCGCUCCCGGCUUCGGCCGCCCGAAUCUCACCCAGGCUAAGGUUCUAGUCCCAUCUCGCAAUCUUUUUCCACCCACUAAUAUACAUACACGGUAGCAGUACUUCUUGUUAUGUGCGUGCGCCUAAUAACAAUGGGAAAGGGAAAUUCCACCCAGCAGGGAUUGUCAUCCCAUGGAAAAGAAGAAGGCGUCCUGGAGCAGAUCCAGGACAAGAAGGAGAGGCUCUACGACCUCAUCCUCUACAACCGCGCCUUUAAGCGCAACGACGGCUCCACUUGCCACGCAAACGUUCAACUCUUGCGUCAUCUCUCUGCUCACGUCAAACCUAGGCCCCAAAGCAUCGCUUGGUAUGGUUGCUACAUAUUUUCUUUCCCCUUUUUGUUUCUUCUUCUUAUUAAUUCAAUCAUUCAUCUCUUAUUUCUAACCUUUUUUUAUUUUUAUUAUAAUACAAUAUACAAUACAUAUAGGCGUUGCCUUCGGAACGUACAUAGCUUCUAUAUCAUGUGGAUGUGCUUGAGCCCUGCUGCAAGCGCCUACGCAAUCUGGAACAUCUAUAAAGCCAGCAAAUCCGAUCCGCCGCAGCACGACGAAUUGGCAAGGAACAACAUGGGUGCUCUUGUUCAACAGGGAGGAGACGAGUUGGGGAAAAAGAACAACUGCAUAAGUCAGGGGGAACAAGUGGUGGUCUCCUCAACCUCAUCAAGUUGAUGAUGCUCAACUAGUAGAUAUCGCCAAUGGACUGAUGGUGGGUGGUGAUGAAUCUUGGCACUCAAGUCUAUUAGAUAAUCGGUUGGUAGUUUUGGAGGUGAUAAUCUUGGCUCUUGUUUCUCUCACCUUUGGCGUUGCGUAAUGAUGCUUACCUGAUACUAUGUUAGUUAUUUUGUAUUUUGUGACAUUUGCAUGUCCAUAUUGUUUGGUGGUCUCUGCAUCAAUUUAUUUUAUACUUGUAAUAUAACAGAAAUAUUUAUGUCAUGUGCUUCCCCUCUAAAGAAAUAUUUUAUGGUUGUGGUUUUGAUCACUAAAGUAGCGAUCUAACCGCUCUACAAUAAAGUAGUUAUCUAACCGCUCUUAUAUUUCUUUACCGAGGGAGUGCAUAUUAUAUCACUAGCAUGUAAAUGAACAAUAUAUCUUUUUAGCAAAACAAACAAACUUAAUACUAUAACUUUGCGUUAAUCCCACUAAUUAAGUACUGGAUGAACAUUAUUAUCAUUACUUCAAUCCUGUCAAAGUACUUGCUCAGCUUCCUUCUUGACCUUGUGCCCAACGGUGAGGCCACCUCCAGGAUGAUAUGACCCCAUGACAACAAGUGGUUAUUAGCUCGCUCCCAUGACAACACGUGGUUGAUCUGAUCCUUGUAAACGUCUUCAAAAUCAAUCAUGACUGGGCACCUCAGAAGGUCUACAAUGUAUUGGGCGCUUACUCCUUUUCUGAAUUUUGUCCACUUUAUUUAACCAAUAAUCAUUUUUUUACAAUAAUGGGAACCAACAACUGAGGCGGCUGGUUCAUCCACACAACCUCUGUCCUUAGGGUCAGUUCUUUUUCGCGCAGGAUUUUGGAGAUUCAAGAUUCUGCAAAAUUAUCUCAGAAUCCGCUUCUUCCAGAAUCUGUUGUUGAGCUCUUUUUUAAGCAUGGUCAGGCAUUAUACAUAAUGCACCCUCGGUUAUGUUAAUUGGUCGUCGACACUCCAACCCAACAAUUUAGAUAAACAUCUCAGUAUUUUAGCAAAAAAAAAUUGGUUUAAAAUGGUUAGGUCGUCCAAGAAUAUCCCUAUUACUUUGCCUACUCAUUCUAUGUUUAACUUUCAAGAGAAAAAACAGAGGUGUUAUUUAUAUUCGAAAGAAAGUGGUUGGCUCGUCUAAGAAUAUCCCUAUUACUUUGCCUACGCAUUCUAUGUUUAACUUUCAAGAGAAAAAACAGAGGUGUUAUUUAUAUCCCAAAGAAGCUCAGGCUNNNNNNNNNNNNNNNNNNNNNNNNNNNNNNNNNNNNNNNNNNNNNNNNNNNNNNNNNNNNNNNNNNNNNNNNNNNNNNNNNNNNNNNNNNNNNNNNNNNNUAUAUAUACUAGAGGUUUAGGGCUUUUGAGACACAACUUUGCCACGUGCUGCCCUCUCCUCUAGUUCGUAGUUCUUCCUCUAGAUCGGUUUUCUACGGAGCUCGGGCGGAGCCUUGCAGGAAUAGAUCAUCGCCAUCAUCUGCACGCCGUCACGCUGCCGGAGAACUCAUCUACUUCCCCGCCCCUCUUGCCGGAUCAAGAAGGCGGAGAUUGUCAUCGAGUUGUACGUGUGCGGGACGCGGAGGUGCCGUCCGUUCGGCACUUGAUCGGGACAGAUCACGAGACGGUUCGUGGGACGAAUCGUGGGACGGUUCAUGGGACGGAUCAUGAGGACGUACCACUACAUCAACCGCAUUUAAUAACGCUUCCGCUUAGUGAUCUACAAGGAUAUGUGAAUCCGAUCUCCCUCUCGUAGAUGAACAUCACCAUGAUAGGUCUUCGUGUGCGUAGGAAUUUUUUUGUUUCCCAUGCAACGUUCUCCAACAAGUGAAAGGCAAUAAUGACAUUUGAUGAAGUGACUGUGCAGAAAAAUGCAGUUAUAAAAUCAAUUUGUUUUCAUUUUUGUAAAUAUGUUUAGACCAAUCUCCAUAACUUAGCAUAUUAUGGCCAAACAUAUUUACAAUGACAAUUAGAGAUUAUAGUUGUUCAUGGCAUGCCUAAGUAGCUAGGAGUAGAUAAUGAUUUAUCUUGGAUGUCAACAUGCAAUAAAAUGGUUGUGAUGUAGUAUGAUGAUAUGGUAUCCUCCUCUGAAUGUUUGAGUGGCUCGACUUGGCACAUGUUCACGCAUGUAGUUGAAUCAAAACCAACUAGCCUCCACCAUAUUUAUGUUCAUGGUGUUUAUAUCCUACUCAUGCUAGUAUGCAAUGAUAAUGCUUCAUAAGCAUGUUCAUGACUGUUUUUGCUCUCUAGCUGGACGCUUCUCAACCUAUUUGCUAGACUUUGCCUGUACUAAGCGGGAAUUCUGCUUGUGUAUCAAAAUCCUUAAACCAAAGUUAUUCCAGAUGAGUUCACUAUAUCUAUAUGCGGUAUUUCCCCGCCAUUCCAUGUAAAUUUGUAUGUGCCACCUCUAAUAUUUCAAAUGAACAUAUCUUUUGUGUGCCUGGACUACUCAUGGAGCGAUAGGGGGCAUCCGUAUCUUCCAUUCUAAGCGGGUUAUUCUCAUGAUGAGUGUUUAUUUACUCGUCCUUGCACGAGAGGGGCCGGUAAAAAGGGAUUCCCAGCCCCGAAAUCAAAAAUCACAAAUAAUAAAACACCCCCCUGGAAUGUUGUUGGUAUGGAUAGCACACGUGGAUUGCGCUAGCCAUGGAGCGUGUUUGUUGGUGGAGGAGAAGUAAACCUUUACUUUUACUGCUUGGGAACCGCCACUAACUUGUUUAGCAUGGAAGAUAUUGAUAACUCUUGGUCGUAACUUUGACAGGAAGGGUGUACCUCCCAAAAUUAUUUAUCUCUGUUUUUGGUGUGAGCUCUAGUACCGCUGCAAAUCCCUGCUUCCCUGUGUGAUGGGACUUUCUAUUUACUUUUAUGUUAUUUUAUUUUUAUGUUGAGUCAUCACCUUCUCAAAUAAGUACCAGACCUGAGAGCACUGCUGUCAUCCUCAUGCAUGGUGUCUAAUUAAACGUUGUAUGCAUCAUGACCGGAUCUCCUUUACCAUGAAUUACAAUGUCUGGUCGCUUCUUGAACUUCGAAGGUGCUCUGCAUUUAUGUUUUGUGGUCUCGGAAAGGGCUAGUGAGAUACCACUGUUGUCAUAUUAUACCAUGAUUGUUUUGACAGAGUCUUGGUGUUUGAGUUAUCUUAUUAUUGCUCGCUAGUUGAUUAUGCCAUUCAUAUGAGCUAAUAUAGUUUCUAAUAGUUAUUGUCGAUAUGGUUAGUUAUGAUUUAUGAUGAAAACAUGGGUGCUCACUAACNNNNNNNNNNNNNNNNNNNNUGAAAACAUGGGUGCUCACUAACCGUGUAUAUGUAAACAAGAACAAAAGAGUUCGUAAAAGUUUUUCUUUUUCACUUUCAGCUUGUCAACUGAAUUGCUUGAGGACAAGCAAUGGGUUAAGCUUGGGAGUUGAUAUGUCUCCAUCGUCUAAUUUCCCUAACACUUUUGCUCUUGUUUUGGACUCUAAUUUGCAUGAUUUGAAUGAAACUAACCCAGACUGACGUUGUUUUCACCAGAACUUCCAUGGUGUUGUUUUUGUGCAGAAAUAAAAGUUCUCGGAAUGUCCUAAAAAUUUACGGAGAAUUUUUCUGGAAUAAAAGAAAAAUACCUGCGCAAAGAUCCACUGGAGGGGGCGUGCCAGUGGUCCACAAGCCCCUGGGCCGCGGCCACCCCCCUAGGCUGCGCCGUGCGGGCUUGUGGGGCCCACGUGGCACCACCGCCCCCAAACUCAGCUCUAUAUCUUCCGUCUCGCCCGAAAAAAAAUUAGAGAGAAGGAUUCAUCGCGUUUUACGAUACGGAGGCGCCGCCACCCCCUGUUCUUCAUCUGGAGGGUAGAUCUGGAGUCCGUUUUAGGCUCCGGAGAGGGGAAAUCAUCACCAUCGUCAUCAUCAACCUUCCUCCUGAGAGGGGAAUCUUUGGUCUUCCUCAUCACCAACCCUCCUUCAUCACCAAUUCCAUGAUGUUCCCCACCGAGAGUGAGUAAUUCCUUCGUAGGCUUGCUGGUCGGUGAGGAGUUGGAUGAGAUCAUCAUGUAAUCGAGUUAGCUUUUUUAGGGCUUGAUCCCUAGUAGCCAUUAUAUUCGGAGAUUGAUGUUGCUAUGACUUUGACAUGCUUAAUGCUUGUCACUAGGGUCCGAGUGCCAUGAUUUCAUAUCUAAAUCAUUUAUGUAUUCACCAUUAUAUCUAUGUUCUUGAUCCGAUCUUGCAAGUCAUAUGCACCUACUACGUGUUAGGAUCCGCAUACCCCAAAGUGACAAUAGUUGGGAUUCUUUCCAGUGAUUACCGUAGUAUGAGGAGUUCAUGUAUUCACUAUGUGGUAAUGCUUUGUUCUGGUUCUCUAUUAAAAGGAGGCCUUAAUAUCUCUUAGUUUCCUUAUGGAUCCCGCUACCACGAGAGGGUAGGACAAAAGAUGGCAUGCAAGUUCUUUUCUGUAAGCAUGUAUGACUAUUUACGGAAUACAUGCCUAAAGUAUACUGAUGAACGGGAGCUAGUUCUAUGUCACCCUAGGUUAUGACUGUUACAUGAUCAAUAUUAUCCAACAAUAUCACCGAUCCAAUGCCUAUGAGUUUUCCACAUAUUGCUCUUGCUAAGUUACUAGUGUUGCUACUGUUGUUACAACUUCUACAAAACUGCUAUCACUAUUACUGUUACUAUUGCUACUGUUACCACCACUAUCAAAACUAUCAUAUUACUGUUCUACUAAUCACUGUGCUGCAAAUAUUAAAUCUCCAAUUGUGGUUGAAUUGACAACUCAGCUGCUAAUACCUACAAACAUUCUUUGGCUCCCCUUGUGUCGAAUCUAUAAAUUUGGGUUGAAUACUCUAUCCUCGAAAAAUGUUGCGAUCCCGUAUACUUGUGGGUUAUCGUCUCACGUUAUCGUGUGAUGGCGUGGAGUGGGAUCCCUAUCUCUUUUAUUUCUCUGAUCUUCUACAGAACCUUGAUAAUUCAGGCUCUAAUACUGAAACUGAAGAUGGAAAUGAAGCCACUGAUAUGGAGCUGUCAACUUUUGUUGAAGCUCAAGGACUAAAGAUGUUAGCUCUAAGAAGAAACAUCACUCCCAUGAUUCAGGAAUCCGAGGUGACUGCACUAAACAAAAAGAAGUAGAACAAUAACCAGUGGGGUCUUGUGAUCUCCCAAAGGCCAAGCACUAUGGUGCAAAAGAGACAAAAUAUUAUGGGAAAAGUUGUAGCCUACAAGAUGAAGAAAAAUCUGGAAGUUCCCACUACUUUUAAAAGUAAGUCCUUUACCUCUGACUCAUGCUCUACCUUAGAACAAUAUGCUUCUACCGUGAAUUUGAAAAUUGGUUUUAAUGAGGAAGAGAAAGAUGUUAUUGUUAACAUUAUUAUUAGAGUUAAAACCGAAAAUGCUUAGCUUUUUCUACUCAGAAUCAUGAGAUAUCUUUACCUAAUGAUCUAGAUGAGUCCUUUUCCGAUUUAAAUGGAGUUUAUACUCCAGAAAAGGACAACAACUUGUUUUCCCACAUGCUAGGGGCACUACUGGUUCAUGUGGGGAAUCUGGUGCUCUUCAAAAAGCUGGGCUAUGUAGCCUGUCACACCCCUUUAAAAUCGCAUGACAGGUCUCCUCUGGAACAUUAGAGGUGUGAGCGAGAAAGGAAAAUUAUAGUGCCUGUCUAACAUUAUGAACAAGGAUAAACCAGAUUUUGUUGGCUUCAAAGAAAAAAUGAAAGAUUUUUUUGAGGAUUAUUUCCUUAAUACUAUUGUUUGGUGUGUUCCAUAUAUAUGGCAUUUCCUACCUGUUAUAGGGACUGGAGGUGAUAUUUUAGUUGGUAUUAAUAGUGAUGUAAUGGACACUAUUGGUUUCAUUUGUAAGAAAUAUUGCCUCACCAUCACCCUCAAAAAUAAAGUGGACCAGCUAUGUUGGCACCUUGNNNNNNNNNNNNNNNNNNNNNNNNNNNNNNNNNNNNNNNNNNNNNNNNNNNNNNNNNNNNNNNNNNNNNNNNNNNNNNNNNNNNNNNNNNNNNNNNNNNNAAACACUAACUCCAGCUCCAAGGUCACAUCACGCAGUUCUUACGUAGUUUCCUUUAAUGGAGCAAGGUAUAGUGGGCACUCCGGGAUCACCAAGUUUCUUAGGAGUUCCACCUUUGAAAGUGUAAUUGGAAAGCAUGGUGGAGAUCAAAAGAUCUGGUAUCUUCCGUUUAUUGGUCACGAUAUCUUUCAUGUACUUGGCAUAUGGAGACAUUUUGAGCAUAUCAACUAACCGCAUCUGCAGAAAGACGGGUCUUAUCAUUUCAAUAAAGCGCUCAAAGUCCUCAUCAUCCUUUUUCUUGGAUGGCUUAGGAGGAAAGGGCAUAGGUCUCUGAACCCAUGGCUCCCUUUCUUUACCAUGCUUCCUAGCAGUGAAGUCAUUCUUAUCGUAUCUCUUAGGUUGUGGGUUAUCAGGAUUAACCGUAGGUUCAAUCUCCACAUCCUUAUCAUUGCUAGGUUGAGCAUCAUUAUGAACGUUGAUGUCCAUAUUGUCACCAGGUUCAUGUUCAUCACCAUAUUGUGUUUCUGCAUCAGACGCAGAAAUAUCAUUUGGUUCUUCAGGUGUGAUAGUAUUUGGUGAACCAACAUGCAGGUUUCUAUCAUCCUUCUUCUCCUUAGGAUGACUGGGUGUAUCAGCAUUAAUUCCUUGAGAAUCUUGAUCAAUUCUCUUAGGAUGACCUUCAUGAUACAAAGGUUCCUGAGUCAUUUUGCCCCCUGUAGUAACGACUCUGACAGAGUUGUCAUUUAAUUCAUUGAACAAUUCAUUAUGAGCUUUAAGUACUUGUUCUACCUGAGUAGUAAUCAUAGAGGCAUGUUUACUCAGAAGCAUNNNNNNNNNNNNNNNNNNNNNNNNNNNNNNNNNNNNNNNNNNNNNNNNNNNNNNNNNNNNNNNNNNNNNNNNNNNNNNNNNNNNNNNNNNNNNNNNNNNNNNNNNNNNNNNNNNNNNNNNNNNNNNNNNNNNNNNNNNNNNNNNNNNNNNNNNNNNNNNNNNNNNNNNNNNNNNNNNNNNNNNNNNNNNNNNNNNNNNNNNNNNNNNNNNNNNNNNNNNNNNNNNNNNNNNNNNNNNNNNNNNNNNNNNNNUACUACUUGUAUCGGGUUAUCGAGACCAUGGAUCUCUUCGAUAGGUGGUAGAUUUUUGACAUCUUCAGAUCUAAUGCCUUUCUCUUGCAUGGAUUUCUUGUCUUCUUGCAUAUCUUCGGGACUGAGGAAUAAAAUACCUCUUUUCUUCGGAGUUGGCUUAGGAGGUGGUUCGGGAAUAGUCCAAGCAUUAUCGUUGAUCAAGAUGUUAUUCAGUAGAGUCNNNNNNNNNNNNNNNNNNNNNNNNNNNNNNNNNNNNNNNNNNNNNNNNNNNNNNNNNNNNNNNNNNNNNNNNNNNNNNNNNNNNNNNNNNNNNNNNNNNNAAAAGAAAAUUAAACGAGUCAUGUCUGAUCGUGGUGGAGAGUACUUCUCAAACGAAUUUGAUUCAUUUUGUGCGGAACAUGGCAUUAUUCAUGAGAGGACGCCUCCCUAUUCACCCCAGUCAAACGGGGUUGCCGAGCGGAAAAACCGUACUCUAACUGAUUUGGUUAACGCCAUGUUAGAUACAUCGGGUCUCUCCAAGGCAUGGUGGGGGGAGGCGAUAUUGACUGCAUGUUAUGUCCUGAAUCGAGUUUCCACAAAGAACAAAGAGAUAAAUCCAUUCGAAGAAUGGGAAAAGAAAAGGUUAAAACUCUCUUAUCUACGAACAUGGGGUUUCUUGGCGAAAGUGAAUGUGCCAAUCCCAAAGAAGCGCAAGCUAGGACCAAAAACUGUGGAUUGUGUUUUUCCCCAAGAAGCGUAAGCUUGGACCAAAGACUGUGGACUGCGUUAAUUUGGGAUACGCUAAGAAUAGCGUAGGCUAUAGAUUUCUAGUAGUGAAAUCUGAGGUACCUGACGUGAAGUUCGGUACAAUAAUGGAGUCGCGAGAUGCUACAUUCUUUGAGGAUAUAUUUCCCAUGAGAGAUAUGCAAAGCACUUUCUCGACAGGAAUCUGAGAUAACUCCUGAGCCUGCCAUUCCUAUGGAAUACUAUGAACAAACACAUGAUGAAAAUCCUGAGGAGGAUGACGAGGAAGCCCGUGGUAGGGGCAAGAGACAAAGGACUGCAAAGACCUUUGGUGAUGAUUUCUUCGUAUACCUCGUGGAUGAUAAUCCCACUUCUAUUUCAGAAGCGUAUGCUUCUCCAGAUGCUGAUUACUGGAAAGCUGCAGUCCGUAGCGAGAUGGAUUCCAUCAUGGCUAACGGGACAUGGGAAAUCACUGAUCGUCCCUAUGGUUGCAAACCAUUGGGAUGCAAGUGGGUGUUCAAAAAGAAGCUUAGGCCCGAUGGUACGAUUGAAAAGUACAAGGCUAGACUUGUGGCCAAGGGCUAUGCCCAAAAAGAAGAAGAAGAUUUCUUCGAUACUUAUUCACCUGUGGCUAGACUGACCACCAUUCGAGUACUACUCUCAUUGGCGGCCUCUCAUGGUCUUCUCGUUCAUCAAAUGGACGUUAAGACGGCUUUCCUGAAUGGAGAGCUAAAUGAGGAAAUCUAUAUGCAACAACCAGAUGGCUUUGUGAUAGAAGGUCCGGAAGGAAAGGUGUGUAAGUUGCUGAAAUCUUUAUAUGGUCUGAGACAAGCACCUAAGCAAAUGGCAUGAGAAGUUUAAUACAACUCUGACAUCUGUUGGCUUCGUUGUUAAUGAAGCUGGCAAAUGUGUAUACUAUCGCCAUGGUGGGGGCGAAGGAGUUAUAUUGUGCUUGUAUGUUGAUGACAUACUGAUAUUUGGAACCAACCUCAAAGUAAUUGAGGAGGUUAAGUCUUUUCUGUCUCAAAACUUUGAGAUGAAGGACCUUGGGGUGGCUGAUGUUAUCUUGAACAUCAAGCUGUUGAGAGAUGAUGAGGGUGGGAUUACACUUCUGCAAUCCCACUAUGUUGAUAAGAUUUUGUGUCGCUUUGGAUAUUCAGACUGCAAAAUUUGUCAAACACCAUAUGAUCCUAGUGUGCUUAUUCGAAAGUUUAAAUGCACAGCUAUAGAUCAAUUGAGAUUCUCUCAAAUUAUCGGUUCACUUAUGUACCUAGCUAGCGCAACGAGGCCUGACAUAGCGUUUGCUGUGAGCAAACUUAGCCGGUUUGUUGCAAACCCGGGCGAUGUUCAUUGGCGUGCUGUUGAAAGAAUUAUGCGCUACUUGAAAGGUACUGUCAACCACGGGCUUCACUAUACGGGAUUCCCAUCGGUACUUGAAGGGUAUAGUGAUGCGAAUUGGAUCUCUGAUGCUGAUGAGAUGAAGGCCACUACUGGGUAUAUGUUUACUCUUGGGGGUGGUGCUGUUUCCUGGAAGUCUUGCAAGCAAACGAUCUUAACAAGAUCGACAAUGGAAGCAGAAUUAACAGCAUUAGACACAUCUGGUGUCGAAGCAGAAUUUCUUCGAGAUCUUUUGAUGGACUUACCUGUGGUUGAGAAGCCGGUUCCGGCUAUUCUUAUGAACUGCGAUAAUCAGACGGUUAUUGUUAAAGUGAAGAGUUCAAAGGACAAUAUGAAGUCCAACAAACAUAUAAGAAUGAGAUUGNNNNNNNNNNNNNNNNNNNNNNNNNNNNNNNNNNNNNNNNNNNNNNNNNNNNNNNNNNNNNNNNNNNNNNNNNNNNNNNNNNNNNNNNNNNNNNNNNNNNAUUAAGAAAGUGGUUGCAUGCAUCGUAUUAAUGCAGAGGCCGGAGGCAAUCCUCCUUUUCUAACAAAAUAAAAAACCAUGCCCUUUGUGCAUUUGUAAUUUAUGCGCAUCUUUUUUCCUUGUUUCAUUAUGUAGUACUUUCUCCGUCCGAAAUUACUUAUCACAUAAAUAAAUAAAAAUAAAUACAUUUAGANNNNNNNNNNNNNNNNNNNNNNNNNNNNNNNNNNNNNNNNNNNNNNNNNNNNNNNNNNNNNNNNNNNNNNNUUUGUAUGACAAGUAUUUUUGGACAGAGAGUAGUAGUCUCUGCCGCAUCAGGAAAUACACGUGCGUGCUAGGAUGUGUUUUUCGUGAGUUUAUUAUGUUUUUUCUCCCUGCGUGUUCCGUUGUUUGGAAGAUUCGCCGUGACGGCGCCGGUGAGGCUGUUCGCUUGGGCGUCUUGUGCGUCGCAAGGCUCGCUUCAAUGCUUUGUCACUGGAUGUGUGUCGCUGCUAUAUAAAGCUUUGUUAUCAGUUUUGUCGUUGGUUUUAGGUGAAAAGAGAAACAAGGUAGUACGGAUCAUGUGUUUCGAAGCCAAACAUAUAUCGCAUAAUUAUAAUCAAGAAAACAUCCAUACAAGUCAAAUUCAACCGAUCAAACAUAAACCAAUCCCCCGCAAGAAAAAAUAUAAAAGAAUUGACUACUCUUAGAUGUGAUUAGCCUUGUAGCCCACAAAGAGGUUGAAGAGCGCCUGGUCGCCGAGGUGGUGCGCCGCGUAGAUGAGGUCGAUGGCGGCGUCGUGCGUCAGCCCUUGGACGAACUCGCCGUCGAACUCGGCCCCGUCCACGCCCCAAGCCUCCGCCUCCGCGCGGGCCUCGUAGUACGCCGCCGCCGUCGCCAGGCCUUUGCCGGAGACCCCUCGCGGCAGCUCCACCACGCGCUCCCCGGCUUCGAGCGCCGCCGCGACGCGCGCCGCCCGCUGCGCCAGCGAAACCGGCACCUCGAUCCGGGCGAGGUCCGCGCACCGCACCAGCACCGUCUGAUCCUCCUCCGCCAUCGGCGCGAUCCCUUUCUCUCUCUCUCUGAGUUCGCUAGGGCUUUGCGUGCGCGGAGCUUCCGAAGUUGCGAUGACGAUGACUGAUUUUACUGGGUGCCACGAGGUGAGGCGCGCGCGCGUANNNNNNNNNNNNNNNNNNNNNNNNNNNNNNNNNNNNNNNNNNNNNNNNNNNNNNNNNNNNNNNNNNNNNNNNNNNNNNNNNNNNNNNNNNNNNNNNNNNNCAAGGGAAAGACCAUGAUGAAAAUUUUGAGUGGCUCUCAUAUGCAUUGUUAUUGAUCUAAUAAAGAACCCAUAUUAUUUUGUUUUCUCAUUUUGAAUAAAAUGUUGCAGAUUCCAGCUUAUUCCACGACAUUCUUGCACUAUUAUUAUCNNNNNNNNNNNNNNNNNNNNNNNNNNNNNNNNNNNNNNNNNNNUUAUUAUCGUCAUAUCAUUCGGUCGUGUAAGUGAUGUUGAAAAUAUGCCCAAGAGGCAAUAAUAAAUUGGUUAUUAUUAUAUUUCCUUGUUCAUAAUAAUCGUUUAUUAUCCAUGCUAGAAUUGUAUUGAUUGAAAACUCAAAUACAUGUGUGGAUACAUAGACAACACACUGUCCCUAGUGAGCCUCUAGUUGACUAGCUCGUUGAUCAAACAUGGUCAAGGUUUCCUGGCCAUAGGCAAGUGUUGUCACUUGAUAACGGGAUCACAUCAUUGGGACAAUGAUGUGAUGGACAAAACCCAAACUAUAAACGUAGCAUAUGACCGUGUCAGUCUAUUGUUACUGUUUUCUGCAUGUCAAUGUAUCUGUUCCUAUGACCAUGAGAUCAUGCAACUCCCGAACAUCAGAGGAAUAAAUUGUGGGUUAUCAAACAUCGCAACGUAACUGGGUGACUAUAAAGGUGCUCUACAGGUAUCUCCAAAGGUGUGUGUUGGGUUGGCAUGGAUCAAGACUGGAAUUUGUCACUCCAUGUGACGGAGAGGUAUCUCGGGGCCCACUCGGUAAUACAACAUCACAACAAGCUUUGCAAGCAAUGUGACUAAAGAGUUAGUCAUGGGAUCUUGUAUUAUAGGAACGAGUAAAGAGACUUGUCGGUAAUGAGAUUGAACUAGGUAUGGAUAUACCGACGAUCGAAUCUCGGGCAAGUAACAUACCAAAGGACAAAGGGAAUAGUAUACGGGGUUAUGUGAAUCCUUGACAUAGAGGUUCAACCGAUAGAGAUCUUCGUACAAUAUGUAGGAGCCAAUAUGGACAUCCAGGUCCCGCUGCUGGUUAUUGACCAAAGAGUGUCUCAGGUCAUGUCUGCAUAGUUCUCGAACCCGCAGGGUCUGCACACUUAAGGUUCGGUGACGUUUCGGUAUAGUAGAGUUAUAUGUUUUGGCGACCGAAGUUUUGUUCGGAGUCCCGUAUGAGAUCCCGGACAUCACGAGGAGUUCCGGAAUGGUCUGGAAAUGAAGAUUGAUAUAUAGGAANNNNNNNNNNNNNNNNNNNNNNNNNNNNNNNNNNNNNNNNNNNNNNNNNNNNNNNNNNNNNNNNNNNNNNNNNNNNNNNNNNNNNNNNNNNNNNNNNNNNNNNNNNNNNNNNNNNNNNNNNNNNNNNNNNNNNNNNNNNNNNNNNNNNNNGGGGUCCAUGAUACGUCCAUUUUGCAUCAUGUUUUCAUGUUGAUAUUUAUCACAUCUUUGGCUGUUAUUUCACUUCACGGUACAAUUCUUAUGCCUUUUCUCUCUUAUUUUGCAAGGUUUACAUGAAGAGGGAGAAUGCUGGCAACUGGAAUUCUGGCCUGAAAGUGGAGCAAAGUUGAGAUAGCUAUUCUGCGAAACUCCAAACACCGUAAAAAUCAACGAGGAUUUUUUCCUNNNNNNNNNNNNNNNNNNNNNNNNNNNNNNNNNNNNNNNNNNNNNNNNNNNNNNNNNNNNNNNNNNNNNNNNNNNNNNNNNNNNNNNNNNNNNNNNNNNNACACUAGAUGCAUGCUGGAUAGCGGUCGACGUGUGGAGUAAUAGUAGCAGAUGCAGAAAGUAUCGAUCUACUUGUUUGGGACGUGAUGCCUAUAGAUAUAAUCAUUGCCAUAGAUAAGGUCACGACUUUGCGCGGUUCUAUCAGUUGCUCGACAGUAAUUCGUUCACCCACCAUUUACUUGCUUUCAUGAGAGAAGCAACUAGUGAACACUACGGCCCCCGGGUCUAUUCAACAACUAUCGUCUCCACUUUCACUUUUACUUUGAUUUGUUUACCUUUUGCUUUCAGCUCUCACUUUGCAAAGAAUCUAUAAGGGAUUGACAACCCCUUCAUAGCGUUGGGUGCAAGCUCUUUGUCUUUGUGUAGGUACAUGUGACUUGACGUGAUCCUUCCACUAGAUCGAUACCUUGGUUCUCAAAACUUAGGGAAAUACUUAGCGCCGCUGUGCUACAUUACCCUUUACGCUUCGAGGGAACACCAACGCAAGGCUCCAAGGCCACGGGGGAAUCCUUUGCAUAUUUGCCAAGGAAGUCCCUAAAGGCGAAGCCCGUAGCAGAAGGAUUCUUGGCGCCGUUGCCGGGGAGGAUCGCUUGAAUAGUCUCCCGUCAACACGCUUAUUUCUGGCACCGUUGGAAAGACUUUUGUUGCCGUAGCAGAAGUAUUUCUGGCGCCGUUGCUCGGGAGAAUAGAUAUCAAGUCAAGAUCUAUCCAAGUAGGUGUCACAAAUUCAUCUCUUGCAUUUACCUUUUUUGCUAGUUGCCUCUCAUUUUCCUCUCCCUCACUUCACAUUUUUCAUUUUCAUUUGCCUUUUUCCUUUCUCCUUUUUCGUUUUCUUUUGCCUUCUCUUUUGCCGUUUUCCUUUGCCAGUUUUCUUGCUUGCUUGUGUUCUUGUUUGUUUGUUGAAGUUAUCAUGGCUGAAAACACCAAGCUUUGCGACUUUUCGAGUACUAAUAAUAAUGAUUUUAUUAGUACUACGAUUGCUCCCGCCACUAGUGCGGAAUCGNNNNNNNNNNNNNNNNNNGAUUCCCCCCGCCACUAGUGCGGAAUCGUAUGAAAUCAAUGCUGCCUUGCUGAAUCUUGUUAUGAAAGAGCAAUUCUCUGGCCUUCCUAGUGAAGAUGCCGCAUCCCAUCUCAAUACCUUCAUUGAACUUUGCGAUAUGCAAAAGAAAAGAGAUGUGGAUAAUGACGUUGUUAAUUUGAAGCUUUUUUCCUUUCUCGUUGCGAGAUCGCACAAAAGCUUGGUUUUGUUCUUUGCCUAAAAAUAGUAUCGGUUCUUGGGAUAAGUGCAAAGAUGCUUACAUAUCCAAGUAUUUUCCGCCGGCUAAGAUUAUCUCCUUACGUAAUGAUAUCAUGAAUUUCAAGCAACUUGAUCANNNNNNNNNNNNNNNNNNNNNNNNNNNNNNNNNNNNNNNNNNNNNNNNNNNNNNNNNNNNNNNNNNNNNNNNNNNNNNNNNNNNNNNNNNNNNNNNNNNNUGCUACAUAAAUGUUUUACUUCACACUCUAUAAGUAGGAUCACUGCGGUAGAGGGUUGAAAAUAACAGCAAGCUUCUCAUCACGCUCUUUGAAUGUUAUGAACACCAAAUUGUUUACUUCUAUAGACGAUGCCUCAAGAAAAUUACUGAAACCUUCCUUCUUGAACACCAUUCUACCACCCAAGCCAAUAAAGUAGGAACAAAGAAUGCUCACAUAUAUAUAGUCAUUUUCAGAAUCCAAAGCAAUUUCAAGAGUUAAGGAACCAGGCCUAGGAAUUGACAAAAAAUCCUUCAAACUACUAACAACCAUGCUCGGAAUAACCUGACAAAAAACAUCAAGUUAUUUGAUAUUGAUGUGUGCUUUACUGGUACUCCUAGUAGCACGAGGGUAUUGGAUACCAGUUCGGUUGCUAAGUAAUUAGUAACUCGAAAUGAAAGCUACGGUAUAAACGGAGACUGGCUAAAGGCGAGGUGACGAUAUGUGUUGGAAGUGUUUCCAAGGUUGAUAUGAUCAAACAUCGCACGCUCCCUCUAUCAUCGGGAUUGGUGGUACAACCAAUAAUUGUUAUUUGGUGUUUGCGUUGAGCAUGAACAUGAUUGGAUCGUGUUUAUUGCAAAACGAUUAUUCAUUUAAAGAGAAUAAUAGUUAUUCUAUUUGCUUGAAUAAUUACCCUCAAUGUUUAUUGAAAUCUCGAUCGUAGUGUUACACAUGUUCAUAAUAUUGGUGCUAAAAGAUACAAAGUAAUAAUGAUAGUACCACUUAGUUGUGGCACUGCUACUUGAGUCAUGUUGGUAUAAAAUGCAUGAAGAAGCUCCAUGCUGAUGGAUCUUUGUACUCACUCAUUUUUGAAACAUUUGGGACAUGCAAACCAUACAUGUUGGUAUAAAAUGCAUGAAGAAACUCCAUAGAGAUGCAUCGUUUGGACUCACUUGAUUUUGAAUCACUUGAGACAUGCAAAACAUGCCACAUGAAACAAGAGAGUAACUUGUUGGGAGUAAUGCAUUUUUGAUGUGUGCAGUCCAAUAAGUGCUAAGGCACGUAGUGGAUAUCGUUAUGUUCUUACUUCACUCACGAUUUGAGUAGAUACAAGAGUAUUUACUUGAUGAAUCACAAGUCUGAAAUAUUGAAAAGUUCAAAGUAAUUUCAGAGUGAAGGUCGUCGUGACAAGAGGAUAAACUGUCUACGAUAUGAUCAUAGAGAUGAAUAUCCGAGUUACAAGUUUUUGGUACGCAGUUAAGACAAAGUGAAAAUUGUUUCGGAGUUGAUGCCACCUCGAACACCAUAGUGUGAUGAUGUGUUUGAACGUCAUAGCCACGCCCUAUUUGAUAUGGUGCAUACUAUGAUGUCUCUUAUCUAAUUACCACUAUCGUUUAUGGGUUAUGCAUUAGAGACAACCGCCUUCACUUUAAAUAGGGCACCGCGUAUUUCCGUUGAGAUGACACAGUAUAGACUAUGGUUUGGACAAGCCUAAGUUGUCGUUUCUUGAAGGUUUGGGGCUGCGAUGCUUAUCUGAAAAGGUUUCAGUCUGAUAAGCUCGAAUCCAAAGCGGAUAAAUGCAUCUUCAUAGGAUAUCCAAAACAGUUGGAUACAUCUCCUAUCUCAGAUCCGGAAGCAAAGUGUUUAUUUCUAGAAACGGGUCCUUUCUCGAGGAAAGGUUUCUCUCGAAAGAAUUGAGUGGGAGGGUGGUGGAACUUGAUGAGGUUAGUGAACCGUCACUUCAACAGUGUGUAGCAGGGCGCCUGAAGAUGUUCCUGUGGCGCCUACACCAAUUGAAGUGGAAACUGAUGAUAGUGAUCAUUGAGCUUCGGAUCAAGUUACUACAAACCUCGUAGGUCGACAAGGUCGCGUGCUGCUGCAGAGUGGUACGAUAACCCUGUCUUGGAGGUCAUGUUGUUGAAACAACAAUGAACCUACGAGCUAUGAAGAAGCGAUGGUGGGUCCGGAUUCCGACAAAUGGCUGGAGGCCAUGGAAUCCGAGAGAGGAUCCAUGUAUGAAAAUAAAGUGUAGACUUUGGAAGAACUACUUGAUGGUCAUAGGACUAUUGAGUAAAGAUGAAUCUUUAAAAGAAAGACAGGCGAUGAUGGUGAUAAGUCACCAUAAAGAAAAGCUCGACAUGUCGCAAAGAUGUUUCCGACAAGAUCAAAGAGUUGACUAUGAUGAGAUUUUCUCACUCGUAGCGAUGCUAAAAGUCUAUUGGAAUUAUGUUAGUAGUUGCUGCAUUAUUUAUGAAGUAUUGCACACAGGAUGUCAAAACAUUGUUUCCUCGACGGUUUCCUUGAGGAAAGGUUGUAUGUGAUACAACCAGAAGGUUUUUUCGGUCUUAAGGAUACUAACAAGUAAUUAAGCUCCAGCGAUCCUUUUAUGGACUCGUGCAAGCAUCUCAGAGUUGGAAUAUACGCUUUAAUAAGAUGAUCAAAGCUUUUGGGUUUGUGCAAGGUUUAUGAGAAACUUGUAUUUCCAAAGAAGUGAGUGGGAGCACUAUAGAAUUUCUGAUAAGUAUAGUUAACAUAUUGUUGAUCGGAAGUAAUGUAGAAUUUCUGUAAAGCAUAAAGGUUGUUUGAAAGGGGGUUUUCAAAGGAAGACCUGGAUAGAGCUACUUGAACAUUGAGCAUCAAGAUCUAUGGAGAUAGAUCAAAAUGCUAAACAUAACUUUCAAAUGAAAUGCAUGCCUUGACAAGUUUUUGAAGGAGUUCGAAAUAGAUCAACAAAGAAAGAGUUCUUGGCUGUGUUGUAAGGUGUGAAUAUGAGUAAGACUCAAAAUCCCGACCACGACACAAGAAAGAGAAAGGACGAAGGUCGUCCCCUAUGCCUUAGCCAUAGACUCUAAAGUAUGCUAAGUUGUGUACCGCACCUGAUGUGUGCCUUGCCGCACUGUUAAGGGGUACGGAGAGUGAUCCAGGAUUGAAUCACCGAACAGCGGUCAAAGUUAUCCUUAGUAACUAAUGAACUAAGGAAUUUUUCUCGAUUAUGGAGGUGGUUAAAGAGUUCGUCGUAAAGGGUUACAUUGAUGCAAGCUUUAACACUAAUCGGAAUAACUAUGAGUAGUAAAACGGAUUUGUAUAGUAGAGUAGAUAUUUGGAGUAUUUCCGAAUGGCACGUAGUAGCAGCAUCUAUAAGAUGACAUAAAGAUUUGUAAAGCACACACGGAUCUGGAAGAUUCAGAACCGUUGACUAAAACCUCUCUCACGAGCAAGACAUGAUCCGACCCCAGAACUAUAUGGGUGUUGGAUUCAUUAAAAUCACAUGGUGAUGUGAACUAGAUUAUUGACUCUAGUGCAAGUGGGAGACUGUUAGAAAUAUGCCCUAGAGGCAAUAAUAAAUUAGUUAUCAUUAUAUUUCUUUGUUUGUGAUAAUCGUUUAUUAUCCAUGCUAUAAUUGUAUUGAUUGGAAACUCAAAUACAUGUGUGGAUACAUAGACAAAACACUGUCCCUAGUAAGCCUCUAGUUGACUAGCUCGUUGAUCAAAGAUGGUGAAGGUUUCCUAACCAUAGACAAGUGUUGUCACUUGAUAACAGGAUCACAUAAUUAGGAGAAUCAUGUGAUGGACAAGACCCAAACUAUGAACGUAGCAUAUUGAUCGUGUCGUUUUAUUGCUAUUGUUUUCUGCGUGUCAAGUAUUUGUUCCUAUGACCACGAGAUCAUAUAACUCACUGGCACCGGAGGAAUACCUUGGUGCAUCAAACAUCACAACAUAACUGGGUGACUAUAAAUGUGUUCUACAGUUAUCUCCGAAGGUGUCAUGAGUUAGUAUGAAUCAAGACUGGAAUUUGUCACUCCGUGUGACGGAGAGGUAUCUCGGGGCCCACUCGGUAAUACAACAUCACACACAAGCCUUGCAAGCAAUGUGACUAAGUGUAAGUCACGGGAUCUUGUAUUACGGAACGAGUAAAGAGCCUUGCCGGUAACGAGAUUGAAAUAGGUAUGCGGAUACCGACGAUCGAAUCUCGGGCAAGUAACAUGCCGAAGGACAAAGGGAAUGACAUACGGGGUUGCCUGAAUCCUUGACACUGCGGUUCAACCGAUAAGUUAUUCGGAGAAUAUGUAGGAUCCAAUAUGGGCAUCCAGGUCUUGCUAUUGGAUAUUGACCGAGGAGUACCUCGGGGCAUGUCUGCAUAGUUUUCGAACCCGCAGGGUCUGCACACUUAAGGUUCGGCGAUGUUUUAGUAUAGUUGAGUUAUAUGUGUGGUUACCGAAUGUUGUUCGGAGUCCCGGAUGAGAUCACGGAUGUCACGAGGAUUUCCGGAAUGGUCCGAAGACGAAGAUUGAUAUAUAGGAUGACCUCAUUUGGUUAACAGAAAGUUUUCGGGCAUUACCGGGAAUGUACCGGGAGUUACGAAUGGGUUCUGGAUGUUCACCGGGAGGGGCCAGCCCACCCGGGGAAGCCCAUAGACCUUAGGGGUGCCGCACCAACCCUUGGUGGGAUGGUGGGACAGCCCAAAAGGGCCCUAUGCGCAGGAGAUAGAAAAUCAAAGAGAAAAGGAAAAAAAGGUGGGAAGGAAGGGAAGGACUCCACCUCCCAAUCCUAGUUGGACUAGGAUUGGAGGUGGACUCCUCCACCUCCUUGGAUCCAAGAUGGUAGCAANNNNNNNNNNNNNNNNNNNNNNNNNNNNNNNNNNNNNNNNNNNNNNNNNNNNNNNNNNNNNNNNNNNNNNNNNNNNNNNNNNNNNNNNNNNNNNNNNNNNCUAAACAAAACAUCCGAGAUCAACUCUCUAGUUGACAUCUAAUCCAAACGAGGCCCGGAAUAAAACCUACGGAUUAAACAAAAGAGCAUCACGGCAAAAUAUCUCGUGAACUAACUUCCUCAAAAGCUAAAACUAAUUGCACAGAAAAACCCAUGGGAUUUUUCUACCCCGGAAACAUAUAUAAUAUGUGGGGUUUGCAACACAAAAUAACGUCACACAAUAAUGCGAGAAAAAAAAAUACCUCUAUACGGGAAAAUAACUACCGACAAAACUCUACACGGAAAAAUACGAGUGACCGCUAUAAAAUACGUAGAAAUAUGGUCCCUAAAACAUGGACAUUAAAUCUAUGGCAUACGGGCAAUCCGGAUACGCACGAAAAUUAACUACGGAAUGGGUCCUAGCUAAACAGCACGUAAAACGAGGCAUUAGGCACUCUAAACAGCGUUAAACAAAUAUGCAUGUUGGAUAAUCGUGUUCUACUCGCGAAGCUACCCCAAAACGAUAUAUAACACGCUGCGAUCCGACUAACGAAACUAAAGAUACGGGCGUUUAAAUAUCCGACUAUUUACUGGGAUUAUUAAUAAAUCCGAAAAGAGAAUCCUAUUGUCCACUGGGCCAAACUGAGUCACAACUUAACUAAAAAGGGGCUGGGGCGAGGCUUACCAUGGGCCAUGGGCCAGGUCGGUGGAGAGGAGGCCGGCCUGGGCAGACUAGCUGGGCCGGAUCGGCCGCAACUAGCCCACGAGCCGGGGCGCAGGGGAUCCUCCGCAAGAGAGGGCGGCCCAGGCGAGGGACGGCCUGCAGGGGCGGAGGGGGCCGGUCUGGCCCGGGCGACGGGACGGGCCCACGCGGGGCGGAGGGCCCAGGCGAGGGAGCCUCGCUCUCCUCGGGUAGCUGCCCGCUCCCGAUGCACACCAGGGCGGCGGCGGCUGACCUCGACGGGGCGGUCACCGGCGACGGAACGAGGGAGCGGCGGCGGGUUUGGACGGAAGGCUGGGGCGCUCACGCGGAAGGGGAGCCGGCGGGGCUGCGGGGGAGACCGGCGGCGAGGACGAUGCUGGUUGCACGGGAUCUCGCGCGGGGGCAUACUGGUGGGGAGGCCGGCCGGCGUCGGCGGGCCGGUGGCCGAAGGGAGGCGGCGGCGGGCUUGACAGUGACCGGCGGGGAGGUGCAGCGGCGCGGCCGAAGGGCUCCGGCGAGGGGCGGCGCGCGCACGGGGAAGCUAGGGCGGCGCUGGCGGGCGGCGUCGGGAACAGGCGGCGGCGCGACGCGGGCUCGGGCGGCGGCCGAAUCCGGGCCUGGCGCGGGCCUGCUGCGGGCCUCGCGGGCCGGCGGCGGCUGCGGGACAGAGGAAGGCUGUGGGGCGGCUAGGUUUAGGGUUUGCGCGGAAAACGAGGGAGACAACAUAUCAAGCAGAGGAGGACCACUUCUGCAACGAACAGAAUGAAUAGCGCGACCAUGCAACGCCCUUAUGGCCAUCUGGCCAUGGGUAGCUGGAUUAAACCACACACCUGGGUAGUCAGGAUGGUUAGAUAUAAUCCAAGAUGACAUAGAAUCCACAAACCACGACUGCGGAUGACAGAGAAGGACGAUGGCGUAUCCGUGGAGAAGAUCAGAGCUGAAAAUGAGCAUAGAGAACAGAGGAUGUGGGGCUAAAAAAUGAUGCAGUGAGUGGCUCACCGUCGGCUCAUUCCAGGUGUUAGGAAAGAAACUUAUGUUUAUUGAAGGCCCAAAGGGUAUAUAUAUAUUACACAAGAAUUAAGGUGCAAGGAAAGUAAACAUAGACUAAUAAGGACUCUUAGACUAAUACUAAUAGACUGAUGAGGACUCCUAGACUAAUACUAAUACUUCCUAACACCCCCCUCGAAUGCAAAGCGUAUGCAAUAACAUUGCAUUUGAAGAAGUGUAAUACUAAAAAACAAUGAUAAUCCAAAUCCGCGUCUUGAGAGUGUCGACGUAGCAUGAAGAGUCUUCAAAACUUGUCGAGUCGCCGAAGGAGAGAACGAAGAGAUGGCACAUCAGAGGUAGACACCGCAUCACUUGAAGAUACAAGAUAAGUAUCAAGAGAAGAUGGGUUGUCAAAAGAAGAUGGCACGUGAAGAGAAUAAAUCAUUGUGCAGAAAAUCAUAGUCCACGACAACCGUCGGCGAAAGAAGCUCGGCGGAUAAGGCACGAUGGACGUAGAUCGACAAUGCAAAAGAAGUCCAGAAAAUCCUAUAGAAAACAACAAGGGCAAAUAGGCCACAAAAGUUGCAUAGAAAGGAUCAGGACCAAAGAAAAGGCCGAGGGACUAAGGUAUGGUGGACUCGCAUGGCAUGUGAAAACACAAAAUAUCAACGGAUUUGGUGAACGCAGCGGAAAACAAGGAAGACUAGAAAACACACACUAGAUUAGGGAUGAUGGCAGCGGAAGAGAAAAAAUAAUAUCAUGGCGGCGAAGGCCACUUCCAAUCAGAGUGUGCGUGAGACCAUCCUGACUGUGUAGAAGGUGGUUGCUCAGUGCGGGAAGCCCGAGUCACAAUACCAGUAGUACCCGUCGAGGAAGAACCUGAAGCAGCGAGCAGGCGCUUAAGUCNNNNNNNNNNNNNNNNNNNNNNNNNNNNNNNNNNNNNNNNNNNNNNNNNNNNNNNNNNNNNNNNNNNNNNNNNNNNNNNNNNNNNNNNNNNNNNNNNNNNGUGAGCCGGCCGCUGGAUGUGUUGCCGGUGAAAAUCCUAUUCUUUUGGAGGCUGGCUGUGUUGUCGGAAUUUGGCUGUGUUACCGGCGAGGACGUGUAGGCUGGCUGUGUUGCUGGCGAGGACGUGUAGGCUGGCUGUGUUGCCGGCGUGAUCUAGGGCUGCUUGCAUGAACUAUGGUUCGUGGCUAUUCGAAUGUUUUUUGUUUGAAAAUGAGGCGGACAAGAUGCGACCAAAGGAUACGUCCGCGAGUUGGACGCACGGCCACCGCAUCCUAGAACAUGCCCGGACACAGCCUCAUCGUCCGCCCCAAACGAACAGAAUCCGAACAAAAUGAACGUCGGGAUGAAAUCGCGCACUGGAGUUGGCCUUACAUUGUUGGAAAUAUGCCCUAGAGGCAAUAAUAAAUUAGUUAUUAUUAUAUUUCUUUGUUCGUGAUAAUCGUUUAUUAUCCAUGCUAUAAUUGUAUUGAUUGGAAACUCAAAUACAUGUGUGGAUACAUAGACGAAACACUGUCCCUAGUAAGCCUCUAGUUGACUAGCUCGUUGAUCAAAGAUGAUGAAGGUUUCCUAACCAUAGACAAGUGUUGUCACUUGAUAACAGGAUCACAUCAUUAGGAGAAUCAUGUGAUGGACAAGACCCAAACUAUGAACGUAGCAUAUUGAUCGUGUCUUUUUAUUGCUAUUGUUUUGUGCGUGUCAAGUAUUUGUUCCUAUGACCAUGAGUUCAUAUAACUCACUGGCACCGGAGGAAUACCUUGUGUGCGUCAAACGUCACAUAGUAACUAGAUGACUAUAAUGGUGUUCUACAGGUAUCUCCGAAGGUGUACGUUCAGUUAGUAUGGAUUAAGACUGGGAUUUAUCACUACAUGUGACGGAGAGGUAUCUCGAGGCCCACUUGGUAAUACAACAUCACACAGACGCCUUGCAAGCAAUGUGACUAAGUGUAAGUCACGGGAUCUUGUAUUACGUAACGAGUAAAGAGCCUUUCUGGUAACGAGAUUGAAAUAGGUAUGCGGAUACCGACGAUCGAAUCUCGGGCAAGUAACAUACCGAAGGACAAAGGGAAUGACAUACGGGAUUGCCUGAAUCCUUGACACUGAGGUUCAACCGAUAAGUUAUUUGGAGAAUAUGUAGGAUCCAAUAUGGGCAUCCAGGUCCCGCUAUUGGAUAUUGACCGAGGAGUACCUCGGGACAUGUCUGCACAGUUCUUGAACCCGCAGGGUCUGCACACUUAAGGUUCGGCGAUGUUUUAGUAUAGUUGAGUUAUAUGUGUGGUUACCGAAUGUUGUUCCGAGUCCCGGAUGAGAUCACGGAUGUCACGAGGGUUUCCGGAAUGGUCCGGAGAUGAAGAUUGAUAUAUAGGAUGACCUCAUUUGGUUACGGGAAAGUUUUCGGGCAUUACCGGGAAUGUACCGGGAGUGACGAAUGGGUUCUGGAUGUUCAGCGGGAGGGGCCAGCCCACCCGGGGAAGCCCAUAGGCCUUAGGGGUGCCGCACCAGCCCUUUGUUGGAUGGUGGGACAGCCCAAAAGGGCCCUAUGCACACGAGAUAGAAAAUCAAAGAGAAAAGAAAAAAAGGUGGGAAGGAAGGGAAGGACUCCACCUUCCAAUCCUAGUUGGACUACGAUUGGAGGUGGACUCCUCCACCUCCUUGGAUCCAAGAUGGUAGCAANNNNNNNNNNNNNNNNNNNNNNNNNNNNNNNNNNNNNNNNNNNNNNNNNNNNNNNNNNNNNNNNNNNNNNNNNNNNNNNNNNNNNNNNNNNNNNNNNNNNGCUGCGUGGAGAAGAUCGGAGCACGAGUUGCGCGUGCGAAAAAAAAACCUAAGACUCUAAUACCAUGUUAGGAAAGCAACUUAUGUUUAUUGAAGGCCCAAAGGGCAUAUAUAUAUUACACAAGACUUGAGGUGCAAGGAAAGUAAACAUAGACUAAUAAGGACUCUUAGACUAAUACUAAUAGACUAAUGAGGACUUCUAGACUAAUACUAAUACUUCCUAACACCAGGGACGACCGAUUAACAGCGAACAGGGGCUCGAAGAGUGACAGGGGAUGAAGCAUAUAUACAGAGGUACUUAUAACACCCCAAGGCAGUGGAAACGAUGGGAACAUCCCCGUCAUGAAUGUGCACACAGAAACUGAAGAUUGAUGCGCCCAUUAAAUUUCAGGCGGGCAGUUUCGCUCGAACGAGCAGCCAUAUCCUCGAUCUGAAUUGCCUGUAGCAACUGGGUCCGUCCUCUCCCGUUCAUGCAUCGAUGGAUCCACCCCCUCAUCUCCUUUUCAUGCACUGAUGAAUCCAUCUCCUCCUAUCUCGGGGUGGUCCGCAUCGGCUUCCCAGAUCCCAUCUCUCCCACGACGACCCCCUCUCUUGCAGCAAUUGACGGAUCCACUCCUGAUGCCACCAAAUGAUUUUUAUUCUUUUGGAGUAAUAGAGAUCGAUCGGUGGACGUGGCUCUUAGGAUGGAGGGAUUCCAGCCUUUAUACCUUAUUGGGCUGGGUGUAAAGGCCCAGUUAACGAGAGAGCUUAGAUUUUUUUCUACGGAGAAGCUGCCCUUUUGGGACAGAAGAUCUAACACCCCUAAAUGAUCCAAAUAUAACAAUGGACGACCAAAAAUUAUGAGGUCGUGAGAGAGCAGGGAUUUAGUUUAGUUUUACUGUCCUAAUAAAUAAAUGAGUGAAAAGCGGACGGAAAACGAACAAAAGUCCCUUUACGUCCCCUAAUAAAUGGGUAUUGUUUUACCCACAAACAAACGCACCGGUCUAAAAUCGGCAAGGGAGCCAUCGUCUUGUUUCCUCUCCUCUCUCCCGAGUCUCGAUUUGCGCCGGCGGCGGAAGCAAUCGAUCUCCAUGGCGGCGACAGCGCUCCGGACCAUCUGCAAGCGGAUCGGCGGCCGCGCCAUCCGGCCAUCACCCUCCACCUCUCGCCUCUUCCACAGCACGG
rnacentral:lncRNA from 1 species